UUAAAGGAAGCUAUUUUAGCGUCUCAUUGUUACUGAGAAGAUAGGGUAAUCUCCCCCUUUAAG
rnacentral:tRNA from 1 species